UAAUGACAGGAAACAAUGUCUCCUUCAGCCUAGAGGCUCCCUCACCCCCAAGACUGCUCUGCUGCUCACAUCUGCUACUUCCUUCAGUCCGUGCACAGAGGAGUGGCCCGUGCUGCUGCCUGAAGGCUUUGAGCAGAAAUAUGACUGGAACCAGCCAGCACUGGCAGAGCCAUUGCAGCAGGGUGCCACGGACAUGGACCAAGGUGCUUUCCAACCUUCGGUCACCCUCCCCGUCAAGAGGUGGACCAGAUGCCCCAAGAAGCUGCAGCACUUGUGUCUGUGAGGUCGUCCUGGCCCGGCCCCCGUGGCUGUGCCCUGGUUCCUGAGGGCCACAGGAGAACAGAUAGCUUCCAUUGGCUGAGGCAGUUUCUUUUGUGGAAUCCUGCAACAUUUGGGCCACCAGAUGGUGCUGACACCUGAUUUGGAGUGACACUCUCUGAAGUGGGACACAGGGCAAAGGAAGCAGCCUGAGGCCUGCAUCAGAUGCAGCCGUCCCAGAAUCGUUUGUUUCCUGCUGUCUCUGCGAGCUGGUCUCUCCUGCAUGUGUGACUUGCACGGGUACUGUUAUUUCACAAAGUGGCUGCUCCCACCUCUUCCCACCAAACUCCCCCAGCCUGAAGCUGCAAACUUGCUGGGAGGCACAUACUAUCCAGACCCUGAGAAGUCAAGGGAGACAUCAGAAAAGCUAUGUGGAUCCACCCCUCCAGCAGGACCUGAGGUAACAGCAAGGGCAGCAGCAGAAGCCAGGUGGAGCCUUGGUGAGAACUUGCACUUGGCUCCCUGCACGGAGCUCCUGUAGCUCACGUCCCCUCCCUCCUGCUUUUCCUGUCCCACAUUCCAUUCCCUCAGCCCCUC